UGGAGUGAGCUGUGUUCUUGUAGGUCCCAAGACAAUACUACAAAAUUGGCUUAAUGUGUCGGAGAGUGGUCUUGUAGGUCCCAUUCUUCCUCUCUCAUUUUCCCUUUCUUCUUUUCUCCCAUUCUCCUUCAUUUCCCUUUCAUUUCCCCCUUCUUCUUUUCGGCAUCUCUUUCUUCUUUUCAUUUCAUCUUCUUACCAUGCUUUUUUAUCCACUUCAUCCAGUUCCUCCAUCAUUCUCUCCAUGACAAUCGCUGAUCUCAUCUCCCCGUCUUCUCUCUCUAGUACGACAACACAUGAUUUACGUCAAACACCAAAAUUGUCUCACUUUCCUGCUCCCGUUUUCUACUGUGAGUAAGGGAUUUUGCUUAUCUGAGUGAAUAGCACUGAAAGAAGUAGAGGAAAUGAGAAAGGUAGCACUGAUAGAACAAGGGGAAGAAAAGAAGAAAGGGAAAAGAAGAUGGGAAAAAGGAAAAGUCAUCAUUAUGUUUUCUUUAUGUUGUUGUAUAAAUACUUUGUAUAAUGAGAUAUAUUGAUGAAGAACAUUACCAAUGGAAACAUUUAUGUCA